rnacentral:tRNA from 1 species
GCCCCGCUGGUGGAACUGGCAGACGCACCGCACUCAAAAUGCGGCGCCGGCAACGGCAUCCGGGUUCGAGUCCCGGGCGGGGCA